CGUCUCCGGAGCUGCGCACACAGCGCACUGGGCCGAUCCGCCCUCCGGGACCGAGCCCUUGGCCCGGGGACCGUGCAGGCCCGGGGCCCUGGAGGCCGAGGAUCCAGGAGAGUUCACCUAGAAGGUGAAGUGCGGACCCGCCUCGGGAGCCGCGACCCGAGGGAAGGGACCCGCGGCUUCUGGCGCGCAGCAUCCGACUCGAAAUCCGCCUCCAGGGCGCCCCUGGCAGGCGCCUCGCUGUACCGGCCUAGCAGGGCCGCAGCCGGGGACGCCGCCCGGGCUGGGGUGGGGUCGGUUCCUCCGCGCUUUGGGGCUGCGCUCCGGUCCGGCCCCUGCCCAGCAUCGCCGAGUUCGUUUUCUAAAAAGGAGUUUUGGAAGCUCGGAUGGUCCCAUUUUGAAGCAAGGAGGCUGAGGCAGGAAGGUCACGAAGAGUUUGAUGGCAGCCAGGACCACUUGGAGGGACCCUGUCUCCAAACUCCCCCCAAAACAACAGAAAACCCCAAAACAAAAACACAUAAACACGAAAGUCCUCUGUCUUCAUCUUUGCUUGUAUGGUGCACUAUUAUUUUGUCUAACGUACAUGGUCUCUCUCACUAUUUCCGGUCUUUCUACAUGACCCUUCAAAUCCACCGUGGGCUGAGAAAGACACCCUGGAGCACAUCUGUUGGGAGUAUUACAGUUGCGCAAGGCACACAACCCACAUCACAUUGGAAUAAGGCGGAAGAUGUCCAUCUCACGGAAAUACUCAGCCUUCAGUCAUGUGCCUGGAGUUUAAAUGACUUGACGGAGACCCAGUUUCCUUCUCAUCCAUCCUCUUCCUCACCUGGGCUUCCUCCUCGGCCCCUGCUCCUGACAGCUCCGAGACAAACUGGUCAGCGCAAGUUCAGAGAAGACCAGUGCGAUCCGCCCAGUAGCUCUGGUGCUGGUUCCAGGAUGCAGCAGCUGCCACACACGCCUGUCCUGGACGCAGUUGCUGUGGCUGGGAAACUGUCCCCAGCCCGCUCUGGGCAGCUGCGGUCCUGUCUCUGGGACAAGGGGCAGCUCCAGUUGUCAGGUGGAGGCCUCCACAUCAUUCUUGGAAACAAGAGGCUCAAACGGAGGGAGAGGGGCGGAGGGAAAGCUCCAGGCAGAAGAGGAGCAGUGGAAAUGCCGCAGCCUGGUGACAAACGGGUUACAGAAACCAGGGCUAGGGACAGGCGUGGGGAAGCCCUCGGGACUGCUUUAUGGGGAAAGCCCGAGCAUUAUUAGCAUACACGUUCGCACGAUGGUUAUUUGGUGGGACAGCAGUAUUUCUUCAUAUCCCAGUUUAGCUGUAUUCUUUGCAGCUAAAGUUGCAAAAUAAGUAAGCUUUGUAUAUGUAAACCUUCAGUAUAUGGCUCUUGAAUUAAUGGAUUUUAUUUUAGAUUCUCCCUAUUCAAAUAAUAUUUUGAAGGGAAAUAAGAAAAAAGGAAUCUUUCCUCCUUAUAUAAUUGUUUCUGCAGAUUAACGUUUGAGAAAACACAUCGCAGAUCACUUAGGAGACACUAGAAAAAUAUCAUUCAGUUGGAAACCAAAAACUUCGCUGUGCAACCAACUCAGAUUUUAAUUGGUCAUGUGACCCCAAAAAGUCCUUUGAUUUCUUGAGAUUGUGUCAACAUGAUUUUAUCAGUAUGAAUGAUGUUAUUUAAAUUCUUCAUGGGGAAAUCAGGACCCUGAAAAAAGUACCUGUAUUAUUCUAGAUAGAGCCUGUAAUGGCAUCUUAAUGCCACAUGUACCAUUCAUUUCCGGGUUCAUGCUUGAGGGUGGUUAUAAAAGUGCUUUAAAAGUUUUUAAUGAAUUAUAGAUCUCAGCACAUGUAUCUUCCAGAUGAAAAGUUAAUUAAAUCAAAUAAACAAAUGCCUACUAAAAAGCACCCUCCCGGGUGCAGGGAUUGGGUUUGGUGAGCGGUGCACACAGGAGGACGGAGCCCCUGUCUCCUCUGUGAGGCACCUGCAGCUCCGUCCGUCUGUCUGUCGGAGGGGAGGGGAGGGAAAAUGGUCCACUCAGCGGUCCUUCCAGAGUGUGACGGUGUCCGAGAAAGCAACAGAGUGUUGGGGAGUUUCAAAGAGCGGAAAGAGAAGCUCCGAGGCUACUCAGAAAGACUGUACAGGACAUAAAACUGGGAUGGUCCGCGAAGGAGGAAUGGGUAAGACAUCUCAGAGUUAAGAGAGCAACAAGAACAACAAGGCAGACACCA
rnacentral:lncRNA from 1 species